rnacentral:rRNA from 1 species
GUGGGGAAUAUUCCGCAAUGGACGAAAGUCUGACGGAGCAACGCCGCGUGAGUGAUGAAGGUUUUCGGACUGUAAAGCUCUGUUGUUUAGGACGAAAAUGCCUGUUGCGAAUAGUUACAGGUAUUGACGGUACUGAACGAGGAAGCCACGGCUAACUACGUGCCAGCAGCCGCGGUAAUACGUAGGUGGCAAGCGUUGUCCGGAAUUAUUGGGCGUAAAGAGCAGGUAGGCGGGAAUAUGAGUCUGUUUUGCAAAUGCUGGGCUCAACCCCGUAUUGCGAUGGAAACUGGGUUUCUUGAGUGCAGGCGAGGAAAGGGGAAUUCCCAGUGUAGCGGUGAAAUGCGUAGAUAUUGGGAGGAACACCAGUGGCGAAGGCGCCUUUCUGGACUGUGUCUGACGCUGAGAUGCGAAAGCCAGGGUAGCGAACGGGAUUAGAAACCCGGGUAGUCC